rnacentral:rRNA from 1 species
CCAGCAGCCGCGGUAAUUCCAGCUCCAAGAGCGUAUAUUAAAGUUGUUGCAGUUAAAAAGCUCGUAGUUGGAUUUCUGGUACAAUGCGCCUGGCCCGCAGCAGUAAUGCUUGUGAGUGCCGGUGCGCGUUGGCCAUCCUUCUAGAAAACGUUUCUACCAUUAACUUGGCUGGACUCGCGAUCUAGAUCUUUUACUUUGAAAAAAUUAGAGUGUUCAAGGCAGGCUUUUGCUGUGAAUACAUUAGCAUGGAAUAAUAAUCUAGGACUUCGGUUCUAUUUUGUUGGUUUCUAGAAUUGAAGUAAUGAUUGAUAGGGAUAGUUGGGGGUGCUAGUAUUGGCCGGCCAGAGGUGAAAUUCUUGGAUUCGGUCAAGACUAACUUAUGCGAAAGCAUUCACCAAGGAUGUCUUCUUUAAUCAAGAACGAAAGU